rnacentral:rRNA from 1 species
UACGGAGGGUGCAAGCGUUAAUCGGAAUUACUGGGCGUAAAGCGCACGCAGGCGGUCUGUCAAGUCGGAUGUGAAAUCCCCGGGCUCAACCUGGGAACUGCAUUCGAAACUGGCAGGCUAGAGUCUUGUAGAGGGGGGUAGAAUUCCAGGUGUAGCGGUGAAAUGCGUAGAGAUCUGGAGGAAUACCGGUGGCGAAGGCGGCCCCCUGGACAAAGACUGACGCUCAGGUGCGAAAGCGUGGGGAGCAAACAGGAUUAGAUACCCUGGUAGGCCACGCCGUAAACGGUGUCGAUUUGGAGGUUGUGGCCUUGAGGCGUGGCUUCCGGAGCUAACGCGUUAAAUAGACCGCCUGGGGAGUACGGCCGCAAGGUUAAA